GACGAACGCUGGCGGCGUGCUUAACACAUGCAAGUCGAACGGAAAGGCCCUGCUUUUGUGGGGUGCUCGAGUGGCGAACGGGUGAGUAACACGUGAGUAACCUGCCCUUGACUUUGGGAUAACUUCAGGAAACUGGGGCUAAUACCGGAUAGGAGCUCCUGCUGCAUGGUGGGGGUUGGAAAGUUUCGGCGGUUGGGGAUGGACUCGCGGCUUAUCAGCUUGUUGGUGGGGUAGUGGCUUACCAAGGCUUUGGCGGGUAGCCGGCCUGAGAGGGUGACCGGCCACAUUGGGACUGAGAGACGGCGCAGACUCCUACGGGAGGCAGCAGUCGGGAAUAUUGCACAGUGGGCGGAAGCCUGAUGCAGCAACGCCGCGUGCGGGAUGACGGCCUUCGGGUUGUAAACCGCUUUCGCCUGUGACGAAGCGUGAGUGACGGUAAUGAGUAAAGAAGCACCGGCUAACUACGUG
rnacentral:rRNA from 1 species